rnacentral:rRNA from 1 species
GACGAACGCUGGCGGCGUGCUUAACACAUGCAAGUCGAACGGAAAGGCCCUGCUUUUGUGGGGUGCUCGAGUGGCGAACGGGUGAGUAACACGUGAGUAACCUGCCCUUGACUUUGGGAUAACUUCAGGAAACUGGGGCUAAUACCGGAUAGGAGCUCCUGCUGCAUGGUGGGGGUUGGAAAGUUUCGGCGGUUGGGGAUGGACUCGCGGCUUAUCAGCUUGUUGGUGGGGUAGUGGUUUACCAAGGCUUUGACGGGUAGCCGGCCUGAGAGGGUGACCGGCCACAUUGGGACUGAGAUACGGCCCAGACUCCUACGGGAGGCAGCAGUGGGGAAUAUUGCACAAUGGGCGGGAGCCUGAUGCAGCAACGCCGCGUGCGGGAUGACGGCCUUCGGGUUGUAAACCGCUUUCGCCUGUGACGAAGCGUGAGUGACGGUAAUGGGUAAAGAAGCACCGGCUAACUACGUG